rnacentral:rRNA from 1 species
UACGUAGGGUGCGAGCGUUGUCCGGAUUUAUUGGGCGUAAAGAGCUCGUAGGCGGCUCGUUGCGUCGGCUGUGAAAACCCGCAGCUCAACUGUGGGCUUGCAGCUGAUACGGGCGGGCUUGGAUUCGGUAGGGGAGACUGGAAUUCCUGGUGUAGCGGUGAAAUGCGCAGAUAUCAGGAGGAACACCGGUGGCGAAGGCGGGUCUCUGGGCCGAUAUCGACGCUGAGGAGCGAAAGCGUGGGGAGCGAACAGG